GGGGAUGUAGUUAAAAAUAACAUCUAAUUUGCAAUUAGAAAGAACUAUUAUAGUCUUCCUCA
rnacentral:tRNA from 1 species